UCUGUUGACUCCCAUUUUCCCUUUCCCAGGCGCAAUAUUUUUCCCACCCGAGGGCAAAGCCUCAUAAGGCUACAAGAGGACUGGUGAGAUUCCCUUGAAGCACAACUGAUCAAAGGCAGGCAGAUCUGUUAGCAUCUUGAUAAAGAUGCUCCAACGACAAAGGAUACUAUCAUACCCAGCAAGCAUCUCAGAAAAAGGUCCCAAGCUGAUGGAGAAGAGAGCAGGUUAAGUGGUCAGCGGGGCUCCAGGUUGCCAUUUCUGGAUCCCACCACAGCCCUUCCAAGUUGCCCAAGAAAUCAAUGUCACAACAGUUUAUUCCUCGCACCUCCUCCUCAUGAUCACCUCGUGGGGCCUUCUCAGGCAUACGCUGUGUCUGAACCAGCAGAUCCCACCCAGUCAGAAAAGGAGUGUGUGCAGUCAUACCAGAAAUAAGCAAAAUAACAAAAGUCACCCCAGAACUGGCCCUACUGAACAUAUUACAAGAUAACAAUGCCCACUCACACUAGAAAGAAAUACUGCACGCAGUAUUUCUUUUUAAAUUGGCUUCAAGUGCAUCUAAUUUAGGAAUAAAGGAUUUUAUCCUAAACUUAUCUCUUGAAGAAAGUGCAUCUAAGGCAUCAGGUGCACUUAUGUCAUUUCUUUGCCGUUCCCUCACUCUUUGUCUCCUUGUUUUGUAGUUAACAUUUGGCAAGGUGGCUUUUGCUUGUUUCUCAAGCUCAUCAAAAUAUUCCCUUUAAAAAAUCCGGAAGUGAACUGUACAAACUUGCACAAGAACUCAAAAACAGGUCUGAUUUCUGAAGGGCUUUGCUGACCUUGUGAAAACGACCUAGCACAUGGAUUUAUAUCUCUAAGAUUCUGCAGACUUUGGCUGUGAACUAGGGCCCACAAAAAAUUUCAAGUUAGGCCCUAGUUUCAAAUUGGGCCCCACUGGCUGGCCCUGAGUCUCAUAGUUGCUGGGCCUGAGUUGCCCGAAGUCUUGGGUUUGCAAUUUUGGGAGAGGGGAGACUGCUUGCUAGGGGGUGGGCAGGCUGCCGAGGCCCCAUAGAUUUAGAAGCCCUAGGCUUCAGCCUACUAGCCUAUACAAAAAUCUGACACUGCCCCCCUCUUUUCUUCCCAACCCUGUACUGCAUGUAACACCAAUGUCUCACAACAAAUGUAAGUGAAGAACCUAAAGAGACAAUGCAUGUGUUUUUGAGGGGAAAUUAUUUCAUUUUAAAAAAGAAAAGGUGUGUGGCAGACUCCAGUAUUUAAAGAGCCCCCACUCCUAUUACAUCAUUAGAACCAGAACAUAAACCUAUGAAACUAGAAAAGAGCAAAAAAAAUCAGUGUUUGAUCCAGAAUCUAGGUACUACACCCUCACUAAAGGAGACUGUAGGGAUGAUUCACUAAAGGAUUGUAGGAUGACGUGUGUACCUGAGCUUAUGGCCUCAAAUUCUUUUUAUCUCAUAUGCUGCUUUAUUACAAAAAUGGCGACUAUACUAAUAAUAAUAAUAAUAAUAAUAAUUUAUAUUUUUAUUUAUACCCUGCCCUCCCCAGCCAAGACAGGGCUCAGGGCGGCUAACGCCAGGUAUAAAAACAAUUGAUUAAAAUACAACUUAAAAACAAGAUUAAAAUACAACAUUAAGAUGCAGCCUCAUUUCAGUAGAAACGCAAAUCAAAAACUUUUUGACUACUGAUCCUUAAACUGAAUAGUUAUUUGCCCAACCACCCCCUCCAGAACCCACUGCUCUCAACUGACUCUCAACUGCCUAGCAUUCAAACUCCUUUUCAAAUUCUCAUCCAAUCAUCACUCACCACCAGAAUCCCAUACUCUCCCUUUCCCCCUCCCUCCCUCCUUGAAAUUUCCAUAUUAAUUCUAAUACAAUUACCUUAAUAACCCUAUUCCAUUCAAUAUUUUAUAUACGCUGCUCCUUAUAACCAUACUGUUAGAAGCACUUGAGUUCCUGGUUCCUAGGAAAUGGGGGUGAGGAAACUGCAGGUUCUUCAUCCCUGUUCUAAAAAGCAGAUAUCUUCCCCUAAACAAUCCCAGGAAUUGUAGUUUGUUAGGGGUUCUGGAGAUUGUAGGUCUGUGAGGGGGAAGCCACAAUGCCACGAAUCAUUUUGGGGGAAGUCAUGGGCUUCAAAGGCACAUUGGAUGCUCUUUAAAACAUAGCAUCAUAGAAUUGUAGAGUUGGAAGGGACCCCGAGGGUCAUCUAGUCCAACCCCCUGCAAUGCAAUUCCUCCCUGUGACGGCCCUUGAGAUAUGGUCAGGGCUUCAUGGUGUGGCUCUCAUAUCCAUGUCCUGAGGGACAGAGAGCAAAACAUUUCUCUCUCCCCUUUCUCCAGCCCAGGCAGAAUUGCAAGGGGUCUGUGCAUCUGGCUGGUAAGAAGAUGGUUGAGGUCUGGAGCCCAGCCAGGGUUGGCAGUGGGCAGGAUCAUGGCAUUGCCGGGAGUUGGACUAGAUGACCCUUGGGAUCCCUUCCAACUCUACCAACUCUAGUGACUGGGGGCAGCCGCCGAGACCACACAACACCGGUCUUGAAAGACCUACAUUGGCUCCCAGUAUGUUUCUGAGCACAAUGCAAAGUGUUGGUGUUGACCUUUAAAGCCCUAAACGGCCUUGGUCCAGUAUACCUGAAGGAGCAUCUCCACCCCCAUUGUUCAGCCCAGACACUGAGGUCCAGCCCCGAGGGUCUUCUGUCGGUUCCCUCACUGUGAGAAGCCAAGUUACAGGGAACCAGGCAGAGGGCCUUCUUGGUGGUGGCGCCCUCCCUGUGGAACGCCCUCCCAUCAGAUGUCAAAGAGAUAAACUACCUGACAUUUAGAAGACAUCUGAAGGCAGCCAUGUUUAGGGAAGUUUUUAAUGUGUGACAUUUUAAUGUAUUUUUAAUCUUUGUUGGAAGCUGCCCAGAGUGACUGGGGAGACACAGCCAGAUGGGCUGGAUACAGUGGUGCCUCGCAAGACGAAAUUAAUCCGUUCCGCGAGUGUCUUCGUCUAGCGGUUUUUUCCGUCUUGCGAAGCAACCCUAUUAGCGGAUUAGCGGAUUAGCGCUAUUAGCGGUUUAGCGGCUAUUAAAGGCUUAUCGGCU
rnacentral:lncRNA from 1 species